GAAGAAAGCUGGAGGCGUGCUUAACACAUGCGAGUCGUACGGUAAGGCCCUUUCGGGGGUACACGAGUGGCGAACGGGUGAGUAACACGUGAGUAACCUGCCCACAACUUUGGGAUAACGCUAGGAAACUGGUGCUAAUACUGGAUAUGUGCUCCUGCUGCAUGGUGGGGGUUGGAAAGCUCCGGCGGUUGUGGAUGGACUCGCGGCCUAUCAGCUUGUUGGUGGGGUAGUGGCCUACCAAGGCGGCGACGGGUAGCCGGCCUGAGAGGGUGACCGGCCACAUUGGGACUGAGAUACGGCCCAGACUCCUACGGGAGGCAGCAGUGGGGAGUAUUGCACAAUUGGCGCAAGCCUGAUGCAGCAACGCCGCGUGCGGGAUGACGGCCUUCGGGUUGUAAACCGCUUUCAGCAGGGACGAAGCUUUUUGUGACGGUACCUGCAGAAGAAGCACCGGCUAACUACGUG
rnacentral:rRNA from 1 species